rnacentral:tRNA from 1 species
GCCGCGGUGGUGUAGCCCGGUCAAGCAUCGGGGCCUCAUGAGCCCUGGACCCGGGUUCAAAAUCCCGGCCGCGGCACCA